ACCUGCUCAUGCAGGCUAGAGAAACUUCAGAGGAGUUUGUAAGUUGAAACACUCUUGUCACGCCCAGGAAUUUUUAUUAACUGGAGCUGCAAGUUAACUCCUUCUCCGAGAGAAAUGGUGAUGGGGAGAGCCCCCCGUAAAGUCAGAGGUGUAGGUGAGAGCAUAAAACAGACUCUGGUGUUGGGGGUAGAUGCUCGGGAACAGGGGGUUUCCUGAGGCUUGAUCUCGCCUUUGCGUAAUGCUGAGCCUCCUUCCUCAUGACUUUGCCAUGGGCGGAGUUCCUCAAGCUGGCUCCCGGCAGCCUAGCACAUUACAAGUGGUUAACGAACUGACAAGGGAGAGAGCUCAGCUAGCCUCGGAGAAAUUUCAUGCCAAUGGCUCCAUGUCCUGUGUGUGGCUCAGUGCCACCUGGUGGUAGAUUUGAUUUGGGUUUAAAUAUAACUGAGAGCAACUCUGGGUUCAGCAGCUGACUGGCCCCUCCAAGACAGCAGCAGGGGUUCCAAAAACCUGCUGGUUGUUGUUGGUUGCACUUCUAUUGAGGAUACUGGGGACAGAUAAUAGUAGGAAUGAGAGACUCAACUUACACCUCCUCAUCUGCUGCUGCUGUUUUCCUGCCCCAUCCUGCUCUUCUCUGCCCACUUCCACACCAGAUGAGUCUAUCCCAGUUGGAGGCCAUCAGGAGAUGGUGAAGUACAGAGAAGCCUGGUGUCCUGCAGUCCAUGGGGUCUCAAAGAGUCGGACGUGACCGAGCAACUGAACGACAAUCAAUCCAGGACCUAACCUAUCCCAGUGCACAUCCAUAAGUAGCACUCAGUAGAAAUUUGCUGUAACUCUAUCCAAAAAAAUGAUGAAGAGGGAAGUUGGCCUGAUGUUAAGGUGGACUUAAGAGUGUUGUUGUUUUCAAGUGGUGUCACUGCAGAUCAAUAAUUCUUUGCUUAGACUUUGGAAUUUAGUGACUUGAUCACAUCAAUUCAUUUAGAGACAGUAAGAGUUUGAAGCAGUGAACCACAUGAAAGAACUCAUGAAUCUGAAAGUUUCAGAAAUUCUCAUUCUGCCCUUGGGUAGGUUCUAUAUGAGUACAGGAGAAGUAGGGCUGCCAUGUAGGGGUGUGCAGGUUGUACACAGAACAACUGGCAGGGGCCCCAUUUACAUGGACUACUGUGCAAAUGAUGUCCUUAGAGUUGUGCUGGAGAAGGCAAUGGCAACCCACUCCAGCACUCUUGCCUGGAGAACCCGUCCCCCAGUCUUAUGCAGCAACUUAGAAGUAUUGCUUAGCGGCCAUAGAACUGAAGGAGGUGAAUGUUCUUAAGAAAAAUUACCAUAAGUUUAUAAGAUCUUGAUUGCCACUCAUCACCUUUAUGUGAAGUUUUGUAUACACAGUAGAAAUUAUUAGAUUUACUUUUUUUUCUAGACCAUAGUGGAAGUGUAAUACCAAUUUUGCCCUGUAGAAUCCAGUAAGAAUAACUAGUAUUUCCUGACUGUUUACUAAGUGUUAGGGAUUAGUUUAAGAAUACCAUGUUUUAAAAAUUAACCUUCAGAACCAUCCUAUAAGGUAGGUAACUAUUAUUCUGGUAGAGAUAAGGAAAUGAAGACACAAAAAUAUUAACUGAUAUAUCCAGCAUAAGUGGAAGUAAGGAAAGUACAUGAAUUAUGCUUGGCGCAUGGCUAGUACUAAAUAGAGAGGUAACUGUGACUGCAGCAAGUUAAUCUCGGUAUUUUAUGUUGCUCCAGAAUUGACUCCAUCUUGAAGGGAGACCUUUUUUUGUUUGUUUUUUAAUGUUAUUCAUAAGUUUAAAUUCAUCAACAAUCCCUCUACACACUGAAAAAAUAAAAGCAGGUGAAUUACAUAGAAGAGUGCUUGAUUUUUAUCUGUGACCCUGGCAAAUAACACCAAACAAAAAUGAUAGGGUUUUCAUGCAAAAUGACAUGUAUAUUGGUUAUGGGAAAAAAACCCAAAACUCUGCCAGUUGAAUCAUCCUAAAUAGGAAGUAGAGGAUAUAACUAUAAGAAAGAACUCUUUGGCUUCUCCUCACACUUGACCUUGAGAUGUUUCCAAGCUUCAGGGAAGAAUUGAAUUUCUUUGGCCAGUUGUGAUUUUUGUUAAAUUCUCUUUUCACACAGUGACUAUUUUCUUG
ensembl:lncRNA